UGCUUUCUUUGGUAGCAAUACAAUAAAAUUGGAACAGUACAAAGGACGCUAGUGUGUUCUCUGCACAAGAAUGACACACUAGUUUCUGAAGCCCUCUAUAUUUUU
rnacentral:snRNA from 1 species